rnacentral:rRNA from 1 species
AUUGAACGCUGGCGGCAGGCCUAACACAUGCAAGUCGAGCGGAUGAAGGGAGCUUGCUCCUGGAUUCAGCGGCGGACGGGUGAGUAAUGCCUAGGAAUCUGCCUGGUAGUGGGGGAUAACGUCCGGAAACGGGCGCUAAUACCGCAUACGUCCUGAGGGAGAAAGUGGGGGAUCUUCGGACCUCACGCUAUCAGAUGAGCCUAGGUCGGAUUAGCUAGUUGGUGGGGUAAAGGCCUACCAAGGCGACGAUCCGUAACUGGUCUGAGAGGAUGAUCAGUCAAACUGGAACUGAGACACGGUCCAGACUCAUACGGGAGGCAGCAGUGGGGAAUAUUGGAAAAUGGGCGAAAGCCUAAUCCAGCCAUGCCGCGUGUGUGAAGAAGGUCUUCGGAUUGUAAAGCACUUUAAGUUGGGAGGAAGGGCAGUAAGUUAAAACCUUGCUGUUUUGACGUUACCAACAGAAUAAGCACCGGCUAACUUCGU